CAUACUCAAAAUCAAGCAAGGUAGACCAACCUCUCUAUGCAUAAAGAUGUAUAAUCAUGCUGAUCCCCAAUGGAUAAAAUAGUUAAAGAAGUUGCGCUUCAUGCAAAGUAAUUAUUACUGCAUUUGGGUCCCUCUACCUUUCUUUAUCCUCAAUUAACCAUUGGAAAAUAUUGCUACUAUCAAACUCAUAGCUAAUCAAU
rnacentral:lncRNA from 1 species